ACAUAAACUAUGAUAGAGAGAGUAGAUAUAGAAUUAUUUUUACAGGGAGAAUAAGCCAUAGACUGAGAGCUUAUUAAAAGAAUAUAUAUUGAAGUUCACUCUGGAGUUCUAGUUGUGAAGAUAGUAGCAAUUAGCGGUAAAUCCGAUAAAAUUUUGAGGGAGCUAUAUUGAUUUAUAGCUAACAAGGGUGGUAACGCGGAUAUACUUCGUCCCUAUU
rnacentral:ncRNA from 1 species